AUGAACGGCUGGCGGCGUGCCUAAUACAUGCAAGUCGAGCGAACAGACGAGGAGCUUGCUCCUCUGACGUUAGCGGCGGACGGGUGAGUAACACGUGGAUAACCUACCUAUAAGACUGGGAUAACUUCGGGAAACCGGAGCUAAUACCGGAUAAUAUAUUGAACCGCAUGGUUCAAUAGUGAAAGACGGUUUUGCUGUCACUUAUAGAUGGAUCCGCGCCGCAUUAGCUAGUUGGUAAGGUAACGGCUUACCAAGGCAACGAUGCGUAGCCGACCUGAGAGGGUGAUCGGCCACACUGGAACUGAGACACGGUCCAGACUCCUGCGGGAGGCAGCAGUAGGGAAUCUUCCGCAAUGGGCGAAAGCCUGACGGAGCAACGCCGCGUGAAUGAUGAAGGUCUUCGGAUCGUAAAACUCUGUUAUUAGGGAAGAACAAAUGUGUAAGUAACUAUGCACGUCUUGACGGUACCUAAUCAGAAAGCCACGGCUAACUACGUG
rnacentral:rRNA from 1 species